rnacentral:rRNA from 1 species
AUUGAACGCUGGCGGCAGGCCUAACACAUGCAAGUCGCACGAGUGGCGGACGGGUGAGUAAUGUCUGGGAAACUGCCUGAUGGAGAGGGAUAACUACUGGACACGGUAGCUAAUACCGCAUACCAUCAGAUGGGCCCAGAUGGGAUUAGCUAGUUGGUGGGGUAACGGCGAACAAAGGCGACGAUCCCUAGCUGGUCUGAGAGGAUGACCAGCCACACUGGAACUGAGACACGGUCCAUACUCCUACGGGAGGCAGCAGUGGGGAAUAUUGCACAAUGGGCGCAAGCCUGAUGCAGCCAUGCCGCGUGUAUGAAGAAGGCCUUCGGGUUGUAAAGUACUUUAAGUGGGGAGGCGUUACCCGCAGAAUAAGCACCGGCUAACUCCGUGCCAGCAGCCGCGGUAAUUC